GCUGGAAUAGCUCAGUUAGCUAGAGCGUGUGGUUGUUAACUACAAUGUCGAAGGUUCAAGCCCUCAUUUUAGUG
rnacentral:tRNA from 1 species